AGCGUGUCCUACUCCCUCACAAGCACUUCAUUCUUUCUGUCACACGCUCAGGGAUUACCAUGACCUUUGCUCGUUCGUUACCAGCACCUCUUCUUCCUCCCUCUCACCGUGCUCCUCAGCCGAGGUGGCGAGGACCCUCCCUGUACAUCGUCUCCUCCAUGUCGACAUCUUCCCUCAUCUCUCCAACGUCGUCCAGCCAUUGAGCAGCUCAUCGGAGCAGCAACGCUCGACACUGAGUAGCCCACCGUGGAGUCACCUCAUCAGCGUCUCCUCGCUCCUCGUCCGUUCGUCGAGCUCGGCAAGCCCCUCCUCAGCCGUGCCGAGUCUCCAAGCCGGCUGUCGACGCUCGCCUUUGUUUCUGUGUUACUGGUAUCCAUUCUUGCUCGCCAAUCGAGCACCCCACCCACCGUUCCAGUUCCGAUUCCGCUAGUUGUCGUUCGCCUCGCCAUCGUCUCUUGGGUGCGUACCGAACUGUAUUAUUUAUUUUCUUAGCACGUCGCUUCUUGCACUUGUGAUUUUGAUGUCGUAAGUUCGUGCUGGUGCGUAAGUGUUCAGAGGAGAUUGGUCUACGAGUGAUUAUGGCCCGACUUGUGAACCACACCAUUGGAUUGGAUUCUUUAAUUGAGCUUGUGUGUCGCGGUCAUACGGUUAGUGAAAGAAAGGAAGUAAAUCGUGUAGAGUAAUAAAGUACGGUGUGUCGCACAUCAGAUGCUCAGUAAUAGUCUCAGUCAGAUUCGUCGUAGUUUUCGCGAAUCUCGACUCGCCUUUAAUUUUGCAUAGGCCUAAAUUAGCUCGUUUUAAAAGUUUGGUUCAAUUUGGAAUGUGGUUUAUUCAUCAUCACAUCAUGAUCAUAGCAUGAAUCUUUAUUUUACGUGUAUCGCAUUGUGAAGUAAUUUCUUGGAGGCUAGUUAUCACCUUGAAGACUUGUGGCAAUUUAUUUUCUUAGUCAUUGGCUCUUCUCAGCAACAAAGGCAAGCUCCGAUGCAUUUGUCACCUUCCUUGUGUUUACAAAAUUUUAUCACUUAUAUGUUGCAUUAGGUGAUAGGAGUUGAUUGAUUAAACUCUUGAUGCAUUACCAUCCUUGAAAGCUUGAUUACCAUACCAUGUUACCUGUUUAAUAAAACCUAGUGAUGCUUAGUCACGCCGAUAGAUUAAGAAAAAUGUUUUUGAUCUAUGACUCAUGUUUUUAGAAAAGAAAAAUGAGUAUGGGAUAAUGAAGGCAUCAAGACAUUGAUGAGUUCAUUAUCUAGGCAUGGCCCCUCUGCCAGGCACCAAAGUUAUGAAAUAGUUUUAGACGAGACCAGACGGUGAGCAUGAAAAGUCGCCCGUCUCUGUUGAUUAAGGACUGUACCGAUUGUUGGCCUGCUGAUCUAAGACCUUUUAUCUGGCCACAUACCUCGUCAUGGGCAAGCCUGAACUCAAUUAUUCCCUAUGUAAAAAGACAAUCACGCACUGGGAGCUGACUGGAGAGAUGGUGAGAGUAGCGUGUACCCCCUAGCAAGAGGCUGGAUGGGGAGUACUGUGCUCUCGGGUGGCACGGACCUAUUCAUAUGGUGGAGGAUCCGUGGGAAUGGUAGACAUGUGCAAAAGAGUUAAGGGAAGCAUAUGUCUUGUGGUUGGAGAUCCCCAGCUGGGUAUUAAUCGAUUCGGAUCGCCGUUACUUCUUGAUUAUGAAGACUAGAUCUUCGACCUGCAGCGUAGUUAACAGGAAAGAUUAUAAUGUCUUUGGCUUAAUUAGUUACUUCAUGUGGAGGUCUUGAAGCUUAGAUUACUUAUGUGUAUCUCUUAUGGAAAGGCUUUACCUUACCAAAUAUUGUAGUUAAGUUAUGCACUUCGAGUACUAUCAGGACUUGUAAUAAAUACAUUUCUUUCUACCAUGUAAAACUUGAGUUCUCGAAUGUAAAGUGUACUUUGUAAAAGUCUUCCGCUCUAUCUCUAAUGUGUUUGUAUCAAAUGUAAUUACUAUAAUAUACCUAUUAUGUGGGAGAUCCUUGGGAUGAUGAGUUCCAGUUGGCGAACUCGAUAGCCUUGUUAAGUUACCUGGUACAUGUGCACAGCUAUCUGAGGCCAUUAAGGCAAGGAUUGGUGCAUGUGGGUCUGAUAACUUGGGAGGGCUGUCACAAUUAUGUUGACUGCACGCAUUACCAUACUAAAGCCGAAACUCAUGUUUCCAUUGUCAAAAAAAAUAUCCAAUCCGAAUCUAUAAUUGUUUCGAAGUCUAGGAACUUCCCCCACUGGACCCACACCAGCUCCUGACAUUCUCUUGCUGCUGUUGUUGAUCUCCACAGGCUUUGUUGGCGCAGGGAGUGCCACCGCCUCGGGCUCGAUGGGCCUGGGCUUGCCGAGGGAGGAGUGCUACACCGGAUAAGCGCCCAGUUGAUGCCCUCGAAGAACGGCUGCUGCCCCUCUUCACGUAAUCACGCCCAACAGACCUUUGAUCAGAUUCCUGCUUGCGUUGCUCGUCCUGGGAUAGUCUCCGGGAUCUUGAGCUGCUGGCCGACGACGUUAAACACCAUGGCACGGUUUGUCUGUCCCUUGAA